GUCAGGAUGGCCGAGUGGUCUAAGGCGCCAGACUCAAGUGUUGACUUCCUCGAAGUAGGGGAUUCUGGUCUCCCGAUGGAGGCGUGGGUUCGAAUCCCACUUCUGACA
rnacentral:tRNA from 1 species